CGUGAGCAACCUGCCUUGGAGUGGGGGAUAACAGCUGGAAACAGUUGCUAAUACCGCAUAAUGCAGCGAGGGGACAUCCUCUUGCUGCCAAAGAUUUAUCGCUCUGAGAUGGACUCGCGUCUGAUUAGCUGGUUGGCGGGGUAACGGCCCACCAAGGCGACGAUCAGUAGCCGGACUGAGAGGUUGACCGGCCACAUUGGGACUGAGAUACGGCCCAG
rnacentral:rRNA from 1 species